ACGUUGAAACACCGGUUCCCGUACGACCAUAGAAGUUAAGCAACGUCGAGCCUGCUCAGUACUUAGAUGGGUGACCGCUUUGGAAUGAAUGUGCUGUAAG